rnacentral:rRNA from 1 species
AGAGUUUGAUCAUGGCUCAGAUUGAACGCUGGCGGCAUGCUUUACACAUGCAAGUCGAACGCGAAAGCGGGGCAACCCGCAAGUAGAGUGGCGAACGGGUGAGUAAUACAUCGGAACGCGCCCUUUAGUGGGGGACAACGCCGAGAAAUCGGCGCUAAUACCGCAUACGCCCGAGAGGGGAAAGCGGGGGACCGCAAGGCCUCGCGCUGUUGGAGCGGCCGAUGUCCGAUUAGCUAGUUGGUGGGGUAAAGGCUCACCAAGGCGACGAUCGGUAGCUGGUCUGAGAGGAUGAUCAGCCACACUGGGACUGAGACACGGCCCAGACUCCUACGGGAGGCAGCAGUGGGGAAUUUUGGACAAUGGGGGCAACCCUGAUCCAGCCAUGCCGCGUGAGUGAAGAAGGCCUUCGGGUUGUAAAGCUCUUUCGGCCGGAACGAAAUCGCGCGGGCGAACAAUCCGCGUGGAUGACGGUACCGGAAUAAGAAGCACCGGCUAACUACGUGCCAGCAGCCGCGGUAAUACGUAGGGUGCAAGCGUUAAUCGGAAUUACUGGGCGUAAAGCGUGCGCAGGCGGUCGCGUAAGCCAGAUGUGAAAGCCCCGGGCUUAACCUGGGAAUUGCAUUUGGUACUGCGUGGCUAGAGUGCGGCAGAGGGAGGUGGAAUUCCUGGUAGCAGUGAAAUGCGUAGAUAUCAGGAGGAACACCGAUGGCGAAGGCAGCCUCCUGGGCCAGCACUGACGCUCAUGCACGAAAGCGUGGGGAGCAAACAGGAUUAGAUACCCUAGUAGUCC